rnacentral:rRNA from 2 species
GAGCACGUAGGUGGGUUUGUAAGUCAGAUGUGAAAGCCUUCUGUUCAACGGAAGAAUUGCAUCUGAAACUGCGAGUCUUGAGUGUAGGAGGGGAGAAUGGAACUUCUGGUGGAGCGGUGGAAUGCGUAGAUAUCAGAAGGAACGCCGGCGGCGAAAGCGAUUCUCUGGCCUAUUACUGACACUCAGUGUGCGAAAGCUAGGGGAGCAAACGGGAUUAGAUACCCCGGUAGUCCUAGCCGUAAACGAUGGGCACUAAGUAGAGGGGUUUU